rnacentral:rRNA from 1 species
UCGAGGAUCUUCGGCAAUGGGCGCAAGCCUGACCGAGCGACGCCGCGUGCGCGAUGAAGGCCUUCGGGUUGUAAAGCGCUGUCGAGGGGGAGGAAGGUCCGCAAGGGCUUGACCUAUCCCUGGAGGAAGCACGGGCUAAGUUCGUGCCAGCAGCCGCGGUAAGACGAACCGUGCAAACGUUGUUCGGAAUCACUGGGCUUAAAGGGCGCGUAGGCGGGUCCUCAAGUCCGGGGUGAAAUCUUUCGGCUCAACCGGAAAAGUGCCUUGGAUACUGGGGGUCUGGAGGGAGGUAGGGGCAUGCGGAACUUCCGGUGGAGCGGUGAAAUGCGUUGAUAUCGGAAGGAACGCCGGUGGCGAAAGCGGCGUGCUGGACCUCUUCUGACGCUGAGGCGCGAAAGCUAGGGGAGCGAACGGGAUUAGAUACCCCCGUAGUCC